rnacentral:lncRNA from 1 species
UUUCUUUCGAAACUGCAGAUUCCAUUUUUGUAUGCCAUUGUUCAAAUUCUAAGGGUUUCUGAAUGAUCAACCUUUUGUUAGGAGUUUUCAGUUGCACUGAAAUUUUCCAUGUUUUUCAUAACCAUAAUAUGUGCUAUUCUUCAACUUCCUGCAUGCUGCUAUAAUUUGAGGAUCCAAAAGGAAAGAAAGGAUUUCAAACCUCAUAGUAAUUUGAGGAUCUUCAGCCUAUAAUUUUAGGGAACACAAAGGUGGAAUCACUUGUGGAGAAGGCUAGUAGCUCAGAACUAUCAACAUUAUGUCUCUAGAUUAACAAAUGUUCCAUAACAGCAGUAUGCCAUAUAGGCAAAUACACCCCAAAGAGCCGGAGACAGGAAAGUUAAGAAAGUGCUAGAGCUAAAGCAUUGCAUCAGAUCUGCUGAGGCAAUAUCGUUGCAAUUCUGAUAUGCAAUUGACGCCUAACGUAGAUGCAUUCAUGUCUCUGUCACAAAUUUUCAUCUACACAUCUUAUUUUCAUAAUUAGAACAAGCAUACCUAUGUUCUAAAGUGACAAUGAAGUGUGCUCCAAAUGUCUACAGAAACUCUAAAACUGUGCAGUAGAUCAAGUUUAUUCGGCUGUAAAUACCUAAUUACACACAAGAUCAUCCAAACUUUUACAUAUAUUUAAUAAGAAAGGGAAGCCAGCUAUAGCAUUGACUAAUCUGAGAUAUGAGAGCAUACUAUCACCUUAAUGUAUUGCCCAAGAAAUAAACUACCUCAAUCUAGCACGUAAAAGAAGGGGGCCUUGGUAAAAUUUGUUGUCAUGUGACCAGAAGGUCACAGGUUCAAGCUGUGGAAACAACCUCUUGCAGCAAUGCAGGGUAAGGUUGCGUACAAUAGACCCUUGUGGUCCAGCCUUUCCCCGGACCCCGCGCAUAACGGGAGCUUAGCGCACCAGGCUGCCCAUUAUUUUUUAAUCUAGCACAUAAAACUUUUCCUUGAUAGGCUGCUACAUUGGGCACCAUAACAUGUAUAACAGGUAAAUUAACAAGUCAAUUUCAGCAAAUAUGAAAAUAAUCAGUAACUAA